AGCCAGGGCAGGCUGGAAGCCUUGCUUAAAAUCAGUGAUUACAGCUCAUGGAGGGUGACUUUAAGGGCUGGAAACUUGUCCUUGGUUCUCAACAGCUUAUCUGGGCAUGUAAGAAGUGUUUGCCAGUAUAUCGUUCUUCUCCUCAGCUUCCUUUGAUUGUUCACCAUCAUAGUGGCUGUUGCAGUUUCUCCUUGCCAUGGACCUUCUUCCUUUCACUGUGAUGAUGGAGUGGAGACAUCCUGGUGGUUCUCUGGUCUGUGUCUUCCUCCUGCUGCAUCCAAGACUGCAGUCCUAACCCAGGCUCGUAGAAUGGCCUGGGUUGAAAAGGACCAUAAUAAUCAUCUAGUUUCAUCCCCUAUGCUGUGUGCAGGGUUGCCAACCAAUAGAGAAAGAAGAGAUCUGCCAGAUCAGGCUAUGCUUCUUACCACUUCCUAAGCCCUCCUGAAGAUGGCUCAGGCACAGUUAACGUCAGCUGCUCCCAAGCCUGCAUGAGAAGCAAGAAGGGCUGUGCUGGGGAAAUCUGACUCCACUGCCAUGAGGACCUGCAGGGAAACAAGAACUGCUGGAUAUGUCCAGAGGAGCCAAAUGGUUGCAGUGGUGCACUGUAAGUCCAAGGGGAGCAUUUGGUAUGCUUUUAAAUAGUCAGCAUGAGUGGUUGGUGGAAUUAAGAGAAGGAGGCUCUCAGCCUUGCAAUCCGGAAAUAUUUGUUAGGAGUGGAAUUUACACUUUCUCGGAGCUCCGUAGGGUAAGAACAAGAGUGGUGUGCAUUUUAGAAUCUUAAACUAGACAAGACAAAGCCCCGGUGGGUGAAACAGUCAGCGAUCCUGCUCAGGGGCAGAGUGAACUGCUGGCCUCUCGUCAUGUGUCUCUUCCAUCCCUCACUUCUGUGAUGCUAUAAAAAAGCCUGAUCCAAUCCUGGGAUUACACAAAGAAUGCGCUGCAACAAAGAGAAGCCCAUGGCCUUUCUGCUCACCCUUUAGUGGUAUUUAGGACCAGAAGAGAGGUUGGUCUGAAUAGUCAGAAUGACAUUCCUGGCCAUGUUUAGCAAAUGUUAUCUGGGUUGAGCGGAAAAAUAUGUGCCCUCUUAUUAGAAUAUUUUCUCCAUGUUCUCCUUUAAUCCAGGUGUCAAAUGGAGGCAAUGACGACCAUUGAAGCCAUUCUUGUGUGUCUGAGAAGAUAUUUCUUCCUGCCUCUGUGAGAAUGGGCCAGUCCCAAGUGCCACUCUACAAUUAGGAUAUUAAUAGCCCUAUUACUCUGUGCCAUCUAGUUUGCUUUAAAAUUCAUGGUGCAGUUAGAUGAGAUUUGUUCAUAACAGGAAAAGUACAGAUGUGCAGGAAGACUGAGUCAGAACAGAGCUUUGAAAUGCAUCAAGCAACCAUUUAAUUAAAGAAGGGUGCUCUAAUAUUGUGUUCCAAAUGAUUACUUAUUUAUAUACUCCUAUACUCCUGCUAUUUUUAAACCGGAUUUUGAAGAGAAGACAAUUUAUAUUUCAACGUGAGGACAGCCUUAAAGCUAAAUGAGCUGCCAGCACUGUGCUGCCCAGGAGGAGCAGGAAAAGAAAAUACUCCACAUCCUCCCUAGUUCUUCUGCUGCCUUCCAGCACUGUAGUGCCAUCUGGAAUUGUGCUGCUCAGUGCCCGCAGCCUUGCCACCGUAUCAUUGAAUCAGUAAGGUUGGAAAAGACCACUAAAAUCAUGUAGUCCAACCAUCAGCCCAAAUCCCCACCACGUCCACAGAACAAUCUCCGUCAGUGCCACGUCUACAUGGUUCUUGAACGCCUCCAGGAAUGGUGACUCCACCACCUCCCUGAGCAGCCUGUUCUGAUGCCUGACCACACCUCCUGCCAAGUGUGGGGAUGUUUUCCAAAUGCUGAGCAUCCUGUGCAAUAUAAUGCUCCAGGGAACAAAAAGCUGAGCCAUGUGUCUUGACGCAGCUCUCUCCAGUUGUUGUAAGGAUGUGCUUGGAGUUGUUGGUGAUCAUAAGCCUGGAUAGAUGGAUGGGAAGAACUGUGGGCUUUGUGGGGAGUUAUGCCUUCUGGUAUUUUGAGCUUGUAGUUUGUGGGCUUCCACAAACUGAGGUGCAGGCAGGACUUCAAGCUGAAACAAAAUCAAAGGCAAACAUUGCAUCCGAGUGAUGAGCUUCCUCCUUCCCUCCUCUGAUAUUGGAUGAGUGCACCACUGUGGGAUCUGAACCCAGAGAUUUAGCUGGACACUAUUUCACAUAUGUUCUGCACUAGUCUGAAUAACUGCAAGAGUUCCAAGGAAAUAAAUGUUAACUCCCAUAAAUCUUCAAAAACUUGAGUUUUUCUUAGGAGAAGAGCUGAGAAAGGCUUUUGUGGGAAAGCAUGAAUGUUUGCUGAGUUCCUGAAUAAAUCUUAGCCCAGUUUGAGAGAUUCAAAAGAGCGGUGGCUUCUCCCAGUUCCUUCCCAAACAAAAGGCUGGACCCAAGUGCACUGAAGUCAUAGAGAAUGAGUCUCAUUGACAUCAAAGAGUGCUGAAUCGGACGGGAUGAAGGACAGCCUCAGCCAGGGACCAGAAGAAAUGAAAGCAUGUGAUGUACGUGACCAACAACCACUAACCAACCGCCCAGAUUCCAGCACUGAGCCCUGCAAACAGUGAACUUGCAAACAAUUCAUGAAGAUGUGCCAAAAAAAUUCAAAGAAAAAUAUGUAAGGAAACGGCAAUGUGUUUGUGGGUAUUCUGUGAGCAGAAAAAUAUGUUAUAUUUGUGGAAUAAAUUAGUCCGUGGGAAGUAUUCUCUCAGCUCUCUCAGCUGUGUGCAGCUAAGCCAGCUAAUCGAAUGCAAGCUUUUCUUCUGCUGCCAAAGGAAGCAGAUAAGUAUGGAGACAUGGAUGAAACAAGCUUCAAUUUGCUUUUAAGAAAGGAGUUGCUGGUCACAUCUCAUUUCAGUAGUUCUCAUCUUCUGGAUGGUCAUUUUUUGCUGCUGUUUAAAUGCUUCGGUUUAUUCUCUCAUGAAUACUAACAAGCUUUGGCUUGUCUGUAUCAGCUUGUGCAUGUAGCUUGUUUAUCCAUAUCAGAUGCUGCAAAGUUCAUCCCAUCUCUUAUCUCCAUCUGAUUAGAUUACCGCAGUGUCCCAUCGUGGGUUGGCUGGGCUGCUUCUUCUCAUGGGGAAUGCCACCACUGUGAGGACAUCGUGUGUCAGUGGUAACCCAGAGCAUUUCAUUCUGACACCAUCAUGCCUUUCUCUGGCUGCAAAGGUGCAGGAUUAACUGAGGGUGAGAAGAGUCCUUGGUCCAGAUGGAUUAGAAAAUCAGGUAACAGCAGGAGCAGACCUAUCUGUCAUGGUGAGCAAGAGCUGUGCAGAGGCAAUGUAGUGAAGGACUGAGGAUCAGACUCAGACCUGCUGUUCAUAUAUUUGGUCCUCUGCAGAUGGACAUGUUCAGGGCUGCUUGGGGAUUGAAGUGUGCUUUGUCUGUGGGUUCUCAGGAUAUUAAAGGAUCCACUGAAUAAUGGCCUCAAGUUGCACCAGGGGUGGUUCAGGUUGGAUAUUAGGAAACAUUUCUUCAGAAAGAGUGGUGAGGCACUGGCACAGUGCUGCCCAGGGAGGUGGUGGAGUCACUGUCCUGAAGGUGUUCGAGAACUGUGUGGAUGUGGCACUGAGGGAUGUGGUUAGUGAGCAUGAUGGGAUGGGCUGACAGUUGGACUGAAUGUUCUUAAUGGUCUUUUUAGACCUUAGUGAUUUUAUGAUUCUGUGAUUUAGAUCUUCCUUCUGGGGAUCUUGAACUUGGUUGUGAGGAGUGGAGCAAAUGUGCAUGUCUGCAGCCAGGGAGUGGUGAUUUCUGGUGGUAGCUAUGAAGACUCUGCCAGGAGCUGUGUGUGUACCUAUGAUUAUUGGACACAUGUAGCCCACACCUAAAAUUAGCCAUCCAGAAUCAAAAGCAAAGGAAUGAAGGGUAUUUGGUGUGAAAAUACAGAAAAGCCAAGGAGUUUUUGUAGAUGAGAGACCAGACUCUUGGAAAUAGAGAAAGGUGGGACUCCAGGACAAAUUUGUUUACCUGCACAUUCUGGCAACCAAGACAGCUGCUCAGUGCAGGUUUGGGUAUGAGGAUUACAACUGCAUUCACCAAAAGAAGAGCAGAUUCAGCUGGGCUUCUAAGAUGGGGCAGCAACCAGAGGCAGAGUACUCAUGACUGUCCCACUGCUGGAAGGCCAACUCUGCCUGGAGGUGGGCAGGAAUAGACACAGGUGGGCAUAAAUGCUCUCAGACACCAACCAGUUCCAGUCCUCAUCAAUCUUCUUUCCAUCAAGCAUCACAAAGUGCUCUACAGACCCAAUGACCUUGUCACAACUCUUUCCCAUCAGGAAAUUAAAGCAUGUGAGAUGUCUUCCUCAAGAUCACUCAUUAGACCAGCAUGGCACAGGCUGCAUGUUGAUCAGCUCACCAAGGAUAACAUAUCUCCCUGGCAAGUCCCUGUCACUAACACCAGCAUGUGCCCUCGUUGCCUUUCAGCCACUCAACCAGCUGCUUCUGCUUGCUGCACAAUCAAAAUCCUGUUUGAUAUGGUCCUGCUGCUGCUGCUGUCACUUAUGACCGCUCUUACCUUCAACCAGACUGCUAUUUUGUAGGGGUUUUUUUCAGUGUCUUUUUCCUUCUUUGCAUUAAGUGCAGUGAGGGCCUUUGUGUGGCAGAUGCUGCUCAGCAUUAAUUGCUUUGCCUUGCGAUUGUGUUCUCAUAUAGUGAUUUUCAGGUGCAGCAGUUGAUGCAUUAGGGCUGUCACUUUUCAUACCCUUUCAGAGAGCACCAUGUUUUCAUCUCUUACAACCAAUGCUUCCUCACUCUUUGCUCCUCCUAGCAUAAACUAUUUUCCAAUUGCCAAGGCUUGCACACCAAUGCCUCACCUUUUGUCUGCCACAGACAAAGGGCUACUCUGAGACUGCUGCUCUGAGACUCAUUGAAGUUCACAGCAUUAGUUGUUUAAAAGUGAUUUUUUUUUUUUGAAGCUACCAUGUCCAAUGUGCUUAGUGGUGCGUGCUGGCUUGCUGCAGUGAUGCUCAGUUUGGGUGUCUGCAUGCUUGGCCAUGCUUCUGCUGAUCAGGGAAAUGCCUGGAGGGGCCUUGGGAUGGAAAUCCCUUGGGCAAGUGCUGGGUUUUUCAUGUUUCCAUUAAGCCUUGGGAUAGCCUCUGUGCUACCAUUUAAGCAGCUCUCUCCCCCUGCCCUGAUGAUGCCAUAGAGAAAUAGGAAGAGAGCAGACCAGUCUGAAUUGUGACCACCCACCACAGGCCUUUCUGCACAAGGAAGAAAUGCUGCAGCAAGCACUUGGCAUGAGAUUGCCUUGGCAGUCUCACAGGAGCAGGUUUACUGUAGUGCAUUGAAUGAGCUUUUGCCAUUUGUCUCAAUUAACACCACGGUUGGUGACACAAGAUGGCAGCUGCUGUCUUUGUGGUUGUAUCCACCACUGACAUCCUGCUUGAGUGCUUCAGAAGCCAGGCUGGUGACUCAGCCCUGAAUUCAAAUUCUUUGGUCUGAUCUGACUGAGUGGGUAAACACAUCUAAAAAAUGUGUAUCAACUCAAAACAGCCCAUAACUUUUGGGUUACCCUGCCCUGCAAGGACUGUCCUGCAGAUUGUGGUCUCCCACUUCUGAACUGAGGUAGAGGGGUACUGUUUCAAGUUCUCAGGGGUCUGAACUUCAAAUGCAGCUUUUGGUCCUGCACUGGUUACAAGAUCUCCCUGGACUCUUGUCUUUGUCUGCAUGCACAGGCCUGAGGAGUAACAAUAAUUGUUCCCUCGUGCCUUCAUGGUGCAAAGGAAAUGCUGCUGGCCACAUCUAGUUACUUUCCACUUAACCAUUUUUAAUGAUGAACCAGCCUUCAACUGGCAAUAAUUCAUAUUUACAGUAAUUAACAUUCAGGGACUGGAAGAUGUAGGAAGAGUUCACCAAACCAAUGCACCUGGACAGGAUGAUGGGAGUUAGACUCAGAGGUGGACAGAACCUAGACUUAUUUUCAUUUUUUAGGGACUUGGUUAGCUCUGGUCUGUUUAUAGUUGGCUGUUCCACUCUGCUUUCAGAAGCUUUGCUAUGCUUCUCACUGGUGCUACUCCGAGCAUUCAUUCCUGCAUUGUCCAUUUUUGUCCAUGGCUAAGGUGGCUUCCAUGAUCUUCUCCAGGAUUUCAUUUGCCCAUCUCAAGGAUAAAGCUGGGAGAGUUCAGUGGCUUCGAAGAG